GUGAGGAAUAUUGGGCAAUGGGCGAAAGCCUGACGCAGCCAUGCCGCGUGAAUGAUGAAGGUCUUAGGAUUGUAAAAUUCUUUCACCGGGGACGAUAAUGACGGUACCCGGAGAAGAAGCCCCGGCUAACUUCGUGCCAGCAGCCGCGGUAAUACGAAGGGGGCUAGCGUUGCUCGGAAUUACUGGGCGUAAAGGGCGCGUAGGCGGACAGUUUAGUCAGAGGUGAAAGCCCAGGGCUCAACCUUGGAAUUGCCUUUGAUACUGGCUGUCUUGAGUACGGGAGAGGUGAGUGGAACUCCGAGUGUAGAGGUGAAAUUCGUAGAUAUUCGGAAGAACACCAGUGGCGAAGGCGACUCACUGGCCCGUUACUGACGCUGAGGCGCGAAAGCGUGGGGAGCAAACAGGAUUAGAAACCCUGGUAGUCC
rnacentral:rRNA from 1 species